CUUGUUGCUGGGUUCUCUGAAGCCUAGACCCUGACUGCUGGUCUGUGUUGCCCCCUCACCCACCCAGGCGUGCCCUAUUCUGUGAAGGUGCUGGCUCAGGCCAGGCCCUCAGGCCCCUGCGUGGCCCACCAGCCCUCUGCUGCCCUCCUGCAGCCCUUCAGAGACAGCUGCCCAUCCCUCCCUGGCUGUCCCACUACUCUGUGCAGUGGGUGAAGAUGGACUUCAUGGCCAAGUUCUCGGUGUGGCUCACGGUCAUUCCCCAGUCACCAGCCUAUGCUGAGGUGGCCUGACUCCUGCCCCAGGCACCCAGCGAGUUCUGGUUGCCUGAGGGGACAGCGGAAUGGCUAACUGCAGCCCUAAGAACGCUUUCUCAGACUCACGCUCACAGAAGCUCACAGGCACCUCCCGGGAUGUGACUCUGGGCCCCACGGCCAUCAUGUCCCUCCUGGUCUCCUUCUGUACCAUCCAUGAGCCCGCCUGUGCUGUGCUGC